rnacentral:piRNA from 1 species
UGGAGACUGUGUGCAUCUACGGCUACUCCU